GCCUAUAUGGCAUAGUGGUUUUAGUGCUGAACUGCGACUCUGAAGACCAGGGUUCAAUUCCCUGCUUGGCCA